UAGAACAUUCAUGGGCCUGGUGUGAGAAUAAUAGAUGGGGGAUGUGUAUCCAACGAAAGGUACUUGAGCCUCACCAAGGCCCAAGCUUCUUGCACCGGUUCACCAAGAAGACCCAAGAACGGGUUCUCCAUGUAAUGAGCAAAUGCAUCACUUCGAAACGAAGAAAAACGAUCAGAGAAAGAAAACGCUCAUGUACUGAACGGCAAAUUCAGACACGAAUGGACGGAAUCUCACGGUGCCGGAGGAAAAACUCACUCAAUGGAAUCCGCGACUCGACGAGAACUCGCAUCCCGUUUGACACGCUCUUCUGCUUGUGUUCGAUUGAGAUGAAGCAAGGCACGAAUUUAUUGAUUCGGUGAUGAAGAGUUUUGCGUUCGUGACAUUUUUGUUCUUCAACUUGUUGCUCCGUUGAAGAUGGAUGAUGAAGAGCGAAGACGACGACGAAACCGUUUUCUUCAGAAAUAACCGCUAACAGGUUUAUGGAGGUGAUUUGCAGCUGGUCCUUGAAGUUGUUGCAGUGCAUUUGAAUGUUCAUCCAUGCCUUUCUGGAAUGUAGCAUCCACUUGCUCAAACAUGGUUUUGCAAGAGAUCUCAAAUGCAGGAACCACUGAUGUUUCAAAACUGGAUUUGAGUGCAUCCUGAAGCGUCUGUUUGGAAGUUGUCUGAAAUUAUGCUUGGAUAUGCCUAGCUACGGUAGCUUUGAGUUUUGAAUUAACUAAUUUAUCAAGCUGAUUCACUGCCUUGUCGCCCACUCCUCUCUGGAAGGAUUCCACUAUAGUAGAGGAUAUUAUUUUCUCAAUAGUAGGAGACAUUGAACGAACUACAGCUUGCCCAACUGAAGCCAUUUCCUUCUUUAUAGUUUUCUCCAAUAUUGCUGGUAGAUCCUUGUUCGUGAAGUUAGUAAUCAAACCUGUAACAUGUUGAAUACGGUCUCGUGACAACUUUUCAUUUUUUGUAUUUUUUGAUGUAAUGAACAUUCUUAUGCAAUGUAAGUGAUUAUUCAGGAAUGAAUUUGAAUGGUUUUGACUUGAA